GAUCCUCAGGGAACCCUGGGCCACACUUGGAGAACCCCUGGCCUCGCGAGCAUUGCACCAUCCUGCUCAUCUGGGCUUGUAACACCCUUCACAGCCUGAGCACCCUAUUUGUCACUUUGCAUUUGUCUCUGUUACUCACUGUGCAACCUGGUGAAAAUUAACAAAUCUUUACUAACUUUUGGUUUUGGCAUCAGUAAAAUAGGGGUGAGAAUAAUCACCUCACCGGCUGGCUGUGAGAGCGGAGUGAAUGUGUGUGAAGCACCCACCAUCAGUGAGUCCCUCUUGUGACUAAAAAAGACCACGAUUCUCUAAAAGCUCUAAUAUGUCAUCGUUCAAGCGUUAACCAGAGUUGCUUGUCCUCUGGGUGGAUUCCCAGUACUCCUCGGUUACACUGCAAACUACGUCCUUUCCCAAACACCAGCUGACUUUGAUCUACCCCUUUGCACACUCAGGGCAACGUGUUCUGAAUUAUUUGGUAGGUGAGUCCCAUAUUAUUCUCUGUCUCACAAGUGUAUCUUCUGCCUACAACCAAAGUCUAAGCUUCCAGAAGACAAACUGUUUAAAAGAUCGUAUAUCUGCUUUGUGUUGGUGUUGCAUUUCCGCAUAACAGGUCACCCUGCAAUGCAGUGGCUUAGAAGCCACGGUGAUCGUUACCAUCACUCCUGUUGCUAUGGGUCAGGAAUACAGAGGCGGCAUGGCCGGAUGUCUGUGAGGUCUGGGGCUGGAAUCAUCUGAAGGCUCUUACACCUCAUGUCUGCCAGCUAGUGUCAGCUGGGGCCCAGCCACACGUGGUGUAUUCAUGUGGCCUGGGCUUCCUCACAACAUGGCGGCCACAUUCCCAGGAUGAGGAUCCUGAUGGAGAGAGAGCACCAGGCAGGAGAUUUCUCCUUUUGAUGACUUCGCCUCGAAAGUCACACAGCCUCACUCCCACCAGAAUGCACCAGUCAGCACAGUAACAAGACCCCACAAGGAUUUGAAGGGAGGAAACAGUGACCCCACCUCCCGGGGGAGGAAUGUCCAUGAUAAGCUCCGGGAAAAGAGAGUCAUGCGCUCAUGUGAUCAGACGCCACCAGCUAGCUUCCCAGCUCCCCAACAGAGAAAGUCUACCUUCUUAACACACAAAAACAAAGAACCCAGAAGCAAAACAGGAACCGCUUUUAUACCUAAAAAAGAUCCAGCCCAUCAUGUAAAACAUGAAGAUUGAUGCUGUCCUGGUGGUGGCGGCUCCCAAAUCGCAAAUGUGCUUUGAAGGAGGAAAUCAAUACAAAGUGAGGCGACGCCGCUCCCGCCCGCCGUCAGUGCACGUGAUGUCACGAACCUUCCGACCGCCCCACCUGGAAGGAGGCUCAAAGGCAGGCCUCAAACCGCGGCCCCGGGACCGGCAAGCCGGACAGCCGCGAGCGUCGCCAGCGCCCCUGAGGACCCUGCUCUCCCGCCUUCACGUGAGGCCCCUUAAAUACACUAAUCCAGCUUUUUAAAUCACUCUGCACUGAUGUUUCCUAACAUAGAAAUGCAAAGGAUGGGCGUGCUGGGUGCGAGGCAGGCGUGGAGGCCAGUGUCUGUGACCUCAGGUGACCUCGCUGCCCUGCAGGACGCCUCACGCAGUCACAGAUACCGACCAGGAGGGCCCGAGGCAGCGGGGGGUGGUGCGGACUGCGGCACCAACGGUUCUGAGAGCCCCCAAGCGCCCUCCCGAUGGCCAAGCUUCAGCCUGUCCGAUGGCGAGAUGGACAGGGCUCGGCUUACUCUCUCCAGGCUGCAGAGGGGGCUGUCGGAGGCCGUCUGGCAGGGGGAGCACAGGGGAGGAAGGGCAGGGGUGAGGCCGGCCUCCGGCGUCAGCACCCCCCGCCCCCAGGGCACGCUUACUGCCUGGGGACUGAUGGCUCUCCCGCGUGUCGCUGGCCCGGUGACACGCACCCUCCAGAUCCAUGAAGUUAGAAGAUGCAACAAAACAGUGUUCAAGACCAAAAAAUGUCUUGAUUUAGGGAUACCCAUUUUCCCCCCAAUUAUCUGCUUCCGCACACAAAGCAAAUUAUGAUCAAACCUCAUUAAUGUAGAACUACAGGCGUAAGGCCUACGUAAUGUAUUGCAAAUCUGAUUUAUAAAAUAUUUUAAG